AGGCAACGUGUUGUCGGUUCUCGUUUGUCUUGUCGGAAUUCGAUCCAAUACCUUGUUAGCAGAGAAUAUUUAAAGUGCAUAUAUCACAAUGACCAGUCAGAAACACGAAUUUAAAGUGGAAUUGACCUGCGAUGGAUGUUCUAGUACUGUAGAACAAGAACUAAGUGCACUGAAAUCAGAUGGAGUGACUGACUUCAAAGUUGAUUUAGCAGCCAAGAGAGUAUACAUCGAUUCAACUCUAACUUGUGACGAACUUCUGAAAAUCCUUCAGAAGACUGGAAAGUGCGCCA